AUACUUACCUUCAUGGGCGGUCUGGGGAUCAAGAAAUCCGGACCGCAGAGAGGGAUGCCUGCAUUGCACAUCGCGGAGUAGACCUCUCUCGAUUGUCCUUCGGGGCCAUCGCUGUGGCAAUUUUUGAUUUUCAACCUCACUUUUCAUUGU
rnacentral:snRNA from 14 species